GAAUUGGGAUUUGCUGAAGCUUAAAAUGGUGACGGGAAGAGUUGGGAGGGUGGUGACAUAUUUUGCUUUUGUUUCAAUUCUGAAAAGCUUGCUGGAAUUGUUGGAUAUCGUUAGGCUUUUUAAUAAGUUUCAUUUUCUUUUUUGAUAAUUCUCCAGCUGGUACUUUGAUACUUAUUUUGCUAAACUUGUUACUUUUAGGAAAGAAAUGAAAGAUGGGAAGUUAUGCACUUCAAAUUGUUGUAUCUACAGUGCAGCAAAAUUGCGAUUUUCUUAAUCCUUUCUUUUGUCACAAAGUACUGUCUAUAAGAAUUACUGUAAUUCUUUUUUCUUAAAGAUGUA
rnacentral:misc_RNA from 1 species